GUCGGCGCCCGAGGUCCUGCGUGUGGCACUGCCGGGGAGCCCAGGCAGGAGCGACUUUUGCGGUGAAUUGGGGGCAAUGGACAGGAGAGGCGUUGUGACCCCUCCCUUUGGGAAGUUUUAUAUCGUAUUAAACUGUUAGCUCAACGCCAAUACCUUAAUUUUAUCUCUUCUCCGACACCGAAUCUGGUGUUGUUCUUGAAUGUAUAAAGGCAUGAAAUCCCCCUUACCGUCAUCAUCAUUGUCAUCAUCAUCACCAUCGUCAUUAUCUAGUGCUAAUAUAAUAACUAUUACUUACCUCCUAAAUGUUUUUCACAUCUGCCUCCUUUUCCUCCCCACUCCUGAUGCCUUAGUCUAAGGGAAUGAAGAGAGCACUGCAGUCAGAGAAACCUGGGUUCUGAGAGAUCUUGGGCAAAUUACUUACCCUCACAACUUCUUUACCUUACCUGUAAAAUGGAGAUGUUAACACUAGUGCCACUUUGGUAGGGUUGCUAUUGCAUAAACAAAAUUAAGUAUGUAAUGGGCUUAGGAAAUGCCUGGUUUAAUUCGUCUGCUGUGAUUAAAAUGAUCAUUAUUAUUCAAACUUUCAUCAUCUUUGUUCAAUAGACUGUUUCUAACUGGUCUCAGCUGCAGCGUUGUUCUCUUUAAUUCGCAGAAGUACAGAGGAUUUCUCCAAGUACAUAUGAGAUCCAGAGACUAGAGUCACUCCUUGGCUUAGAAUCCAUGUGGCUCCCACAUGCCCUCUGGAUAAAGUCCAGGCUUCUUAAUGUGGUCUACAAGCCCCAUCCAGAUCUACUCCCCACCUGCUUCCAUCCAUUUAUUUCAGCAUUUUCUCUCUCUUAGCCAAUACCUAAUUACUUAUUUUUCUGCCCAUUUCCAGAUUCCCAACAUGCCAUCUAUAGCCUCCCUGAUCUUGAACCGGAGGUGUAAUUAGCAACCUGGCUCUUACAUUUUUACUAGAUUUUAUUAAAACUAGCUCAAGCCACACAUGCUCCUUCUCUGAGGUUUCCCUUUCAUAUUGAAUUGUCUCUAAGUCCUCUGGAUUUGUGGGGGUACAAGUGGGAUGGGGAGCGCUCCCUGACUUCUGCAUACCAGCAGGAAGUUAGCUACCUCAUUGUUUCUUGCUGCUACGAGGGUUGCAGUCAAAUCACUGUCCCUCCAGAGGUCCUCAACGGCAUAAGAAGACUCAGUGCCAAGGCUACAGGGACUCAAGGACUUCAUCAUCAAAGUCCUGUGCCGGCUAGCUUCCAGUUGUAUUGAGUCAAUGGAGAAUCUGGCAGAUUGGAGGAAGGAGAAGGUCAUGAUCAUCUGGCAAUUAAAGAAAUGGCCAGACUGCCUCCCACUCUGAGGACCCUUGGCUACCUGACACGUAAUUCCAGAGACCACAGUAGUCAGUGCUGGCAAGAUUCCAGAGCCCAGAAGAAGGAGCAAUCUUUUGAAAAUCUCCUUGGAAGGCACACUCAAUUCAAAGAUGACCAUGGGAAUGAUUGACCUAGCUUCCAAGAGAUUCAUUUGAUGUUUAGUUACAGGAUAUCCAUCGAUGACAACACUAACAAGGAAAAACAUGAAAAUAAAAAUUCCACAUUUCUUUUUCUCUCGUA
rnacentral:lncRNA from 1 species